CAAUCUCGUAGCAGAGCAAGCUACGAUGAAUGUAGAGAAUAGGGUAACUUGACACAUGCCACAUACAAAGCCAGCCGAUGCCCAAUAAUAGCAGCCAUUGCGAAGUUAGGAAUCCAACAACUCCGAUCAUCAAUGUAGGACCCCUAUCAUCCAAAUCAGAAAAAGAUGUAAUUGUACAAGAGUUACACCAGGUGUAACUUGAACCUAGCCAUAUAUAAAAACUAGAAACAGAAUUCUCAUCUUUUUGUCCCUUCAAAAAAAAUGAAGAUCUUUUUUGUAUGUAGAAAAGUUUUCCACCAAAAAGAAUGUAAAAGCACUACAAAAGCUAUCGUAAGAAGGAUAUGUAUCAGAUUUUGUUUGUUCGUACAUGCCUACAUGCAUAGGCACCGACACUUCUAGCACAUGCAUAUAAAUGCGAGAAUGCACAUGCAUAAGCGUGCGCAUGCACACAUGCACCUAGACACAUAGAAGCAUCAGUGACUUCUUUUAAAUAGAUUAAAAGUCUGACCAUUCUUUCUUCUUUUUCUAGUUGAGGAGUCAAAUUUAACCCCACCU
rnacentral:lncRNA from 1 species